UACGUAGGGUGCAAGCGUUGUCCGGAAUUAUUGGGCGUAAAGGGCUCGUAGGCGGUCCGUCACGUCGGGAGUGAAAACUUGGGGCUUAACCCCAAGCCUGCUUCCGAUACGGGCGGACUAGAGGUAGGCAGGGGAGAACGGAAUUCCUGGUGUAGCGGCGAAAUGCGCAGAUAUCAGGAGGAACACCGGUGGCGAAGGCGGUUCUCUGGGCCUUACCUGACGCUGAGGAGCGAAAGCGUGGGGAGCAAACAGG
rnacentral:rRNA from 1 species